rnacentral:rRNA from 1 species
UACGUAGGUGGCAAGCGUUGUCCGGAUUUACUGGGCGUAAAGAGCGCGCAGGCGGUCGUUCAAGUCGAGUGUGAAAGCCCCCGGCUCAACUGGGGAGGGUCAUUCGAUACUGAUCGACUGGAAGGCAGGAGAGGGAAGCGGAAUUCCCGGUGUAGUGGUGAAAUGCGUAGAUAUCAGGAGGAACACCGGUGGCGAAGGCGGGUCUCUGGGCAGUAACUGACGCUGAGGAGCGAAAGCGUGGGGAGCGAACAGG